rnacentral:tRNA from 1 species
AAUGGUCGAGUGGCAGAGCGGCGGGCUGUUGAUUUUACAGAGGAGGAGGUCCUGGGUUCGAUCCCG